rnacentral:rRNA from 1 species
AUUAUUGAAUAUGCUUGACGGGUUGUCGCUGGCCUUUCGAGGCAUGUGCACGCCUGUCUUGACUCUAUUCAUCCACCUGUGCACCUAUUGUAGUCUCUGUAUUCGUGUGAGCGUCGAGGGAAGCGGCUUGACUCGGUCAGUGAGACCGGACUUGAGGAUUGCCUUCUGGCUUUUCUCUGUGGCCGUGGAAAUCGUGCCUCUCCCGAAACAACGGAGGCUAUGUCCUUUUAUCAUAAACCAUGUAGUAUGUCGUAGAAUGUAUUCAAUGGGCCUUCGUGCCUAUAAAACCUUAUACAACUUUCAGCAACGGAUCUCUUGGCUCUCGCAUCGAUGAAGAACGCAGCGAUGCGAGAGCCAAGAGAUCCGUUGCUGAAUUCAGUGAAUCAUCGAAUCUUUGAACGCACCUUGCGCUCCUUGGUAUUCCGAGGAGCAUGCCUGUUUGAGUGUCAUUAAAUUCUCAACCCCUCUAACUUUUGUUGGAAGGGGCUUGGAUAUGGAGGUUUGCUGGCCCUUUGUUAAAGAAGGUCAGCUCCUCUGAAAUGCAUUAGCGGAACCGUUUGCGAUCCGUCACAGGUGUGAUAAUUAUCUACGCCGUGUAUAGUCGCUCUCUGUCUGUUCAGCUUCUAAUCGUCUUCAUGGACAAUUCUAUUGAAUAUUUGACCUCAAAUCAGGUAGGACUACCCGCUGAACUUAAGCAUAUCAAU